AUGAAAAAUAUUGGCUUGUGCGCAAGCGGCCGCAUCACAGUUUUUCCCGCAGUGUGACAAACAAGUGCUAACCAAUAUUUUAUUUUCUGCGGUCUCUAAGUGCAUUCUCUUUUAAAUUAUAUUAUAAAUCGUUUGUUAUUUUGGCUGAAGCAGUUAAAGGCGCGACGUAACAUCAUGGGGCUGUGCUUCUCAUUCGAUUGUGGGGAUUGUGAUGGUUGUGACUGUGUGAAUCCCUGCUGUUUGGCUUUGACGGCGUGUUGCUGCAUCCCGUGCCUGUGUCCGAACGCUUGCGGUCAGCAGCAACAUCAGCAACCGCCGCAGACUGUGAUCAUUCAGCAGCCACCUGUUGUUAUUGACAAUCCGCCACCGGGCUAUCCCCACCCGCCGCCGCCCGGCGGUUAUCCAGGCUACCCAGGCUAUCCGCCACCAGGAGGUUACCCACCGCCACCACCACAAGGAGGCUACCCUGGCUACCCUUCUUAUAGAUGAAUAGAUUCUCAAUAAAAUAAUUAAGGAUGGGUUGCAAUAUAUCAUGUCGUCCGUGCUGCUGCUGCUGCAUCCCCUGUCUCUGCUGCGACUGUUGCUCCGACCCACCGCCCCGCACCGUGGUGCAUCACACCACCGUCGUGCAAGUACCCCCGCGCCAGCGACCCAACCAUGAACCACCGCCACCUUAUAGAUAGUUUUUGCUACUUACGACGAUGAUACGCAAAACCAGUUAACCCCUUUUUAUAACUGUCUUGUCUUACUCUUGUAGGCAACUCAACUGAAUUGACAGUGUUGCAACGUCAAAAAUCGACCGAUGUUUAUGUUUGUAUGCGUCACCACAGGACACGAAUUGCGUCACAGUGUUGUCUUAUACCUGAGUCAUGCAUUUGUAAUUCUCUCUGUGCGAGGUUGUCCGCCAAUAAUAGGCUCACAUUUUGUUACACUACUUUAAAAUGUAUACAUGUAUAGAUCAAAAUUAUUCAAGGUUUUGCGUUAUAUUCAUGUAUUGGAGACAGAACAUAAACAUUUCAACCAAAAAAAGAGGAUUACAAUACAUAAUUUUGAUGUGCUUGCGCCCUACUGCUAGCACAUCAUGGUAUCUAGAUGAUACUUGUCCGUAUACGGGUGGUAUAUUAACUUGGGUAGUCGAAUUUACAAUCUCAGAACAAAGUACAAGUUGUGUAAUUCUCAGCAAUAAGAACACGAUAUGAAUGUUAUUUUUAAAGCAAUUAAAAUUGCUCAAUAAUUACAAAUCACUACAA